UACGGAGGGUGCGAGCGUUGUCCGGAAUCACUGGGCGUAAAGGGCGCGUAGGCGGCUUCUCAAGCGUGUGGUGAAAGUCCGGGGCUCAACCCCGGAUCGGCCGUGGCGACUCGUGGGCUGGAGCACUGUAGAGGCGGGUGGAAUUCCGGGUGUAGCGGUGGAAUGCGUAGAGAUCCGGAAGAACACCAGUGGCGAAGGCGGCCCGCUGGGCAGUGGCUGACGCUGAAGCGCGAAAGCGUGGGGAGCGAACAGG
rnacentral:rRNA from 1 species